AAGUAUAUACAGUGGCGGACAAAAGUCUACAUACACCCCCUGUUUUCUUCGAUGUGAGAGUACAAAAAGUUUUUAGAAAAAUGUAUUUAUACAGUUUUAUUCUAAUAUUUAUUAUAAUAGCAAUUAACUAAAAAAAUCCAUUAUUUAACAUAAAACAACAAAUUUAUGGAAGAAAAACUCAAAAAUUGCUUUGACAAAAGUCUACAUACAGUUCAAAUCUCAUACUUUGUACAUUGUUAUAUUAACAGUAAGGUAACGUUAGCCUUUUUCUUUUAUUUCAAUAUGUUUAUUGUUUGAUAUUUAUUGAAUUUAGUUGUGGUUUAAACAUUUCAAUAGCUAUAAUGGCUCCGCGAAAUGAAAUAUCAAUUGAUGUAAGAAAUUUGGUGAUAAAAGAAAGAAAAGAAAAAAAAUCAUAUGGUGAAAUUUCUAAAAUUUUAAACUUGAGUCGAGCAACAGUACAGACAAUUCUAAAAAACUUUAAAAAUAAUGGUUCCAACGAAAAUAAACCGCGCAGUGGACCCCCAAAAAAACAAUCUCGUAGAUACGUCAGCCUGAUUCUCAACGAAGUAGAUCAAAAUCCAAAAGUAAAUGCUGCAAAUAUAGCCGAACGCAUAGCGAGUACGUCACAAAUGAGUAUCCAACCAAGGCAAUAAAAAAAAACUCUAAACGAUAACGGAUUCCACAGUAGAACACCACGGAAGAAACCUUUUAUUUCUGAAAAAAUCGGAAAAUUCGUUUAAAGUUCGCCAAAAAACACAAAGAAAAGGAAAUGGAUUUUUGGAAAAAAGUUUCAUUUACAGAUGAUUCUAAAAUCACUCUUUUUGGUAGUGAUGAAAGUGCUAAAAUUUGAUGGAAAACUAACGCCACGCUUGAACCGAAGAACGUAGUAUCAAUUGUGAAGCUCGGUGGCGGUAGCGUAAUGGUUUGGGGAGCUGUUGCGGCCUCUGGAGUUGGAAAGAUGGACUUUAUUGAACGUGAAAUGGACGGUUAUAAGUAUAAGUCUCUGUUGGAACAUAAUUUGAAGCCUUUGGUGGAUAAUUUAGGGCUCGGUUCCGGUUGGAUAUUUCAACAAGAUAACGAUCCGAUGCAUGCGGCGCAAAUUGUCAAGGAUUGGUUGCUUUAUUAUACUCCAAGGCAAUUAAAUACACCACCUCAAAGUCCAAAUAUGAAUAUUAUUGAACAUGUCUGGGAGAUUUUGGAGCGUAGAAUUAGAAAGCACCAAAUUUCUAGCUCUACUAUACUCUAAGAGUGCAUAUUGGGACCUUGGAACAGCAUUACAUCUGCAGCGUUGACAAAUUUUGCAGAAUCAAUGCCACGGCGUCUUCAAGCAGUUACAGAUGCCAAUGGGGACCCAACUAAAUACUAAAACGUCUUAAUAACUAGCAUUUUGUAAAGUUUUUCGCACUGAACUAAGAUAUUUUUGUACUGUAUGUAGACUUUUGUCAACACAAUAUUUGAGUUUUUAUUCCAUAAAUUUGUAGUUUUAUAUUAAUUAACGGAUUUUUUAAGUUUGUUGUUAUUAGAAAGAAGAUUAGAAUAAAACUGUAUCAACACAUUUUUCUAAAAAGUUUUUGUACUCUCACAUCGAAGAAAACAGGGGGUGUAUGUAGACUUUUGUCCGCCACUGUAUACAUAUGUA